rnacentral:lncRNA from 1 species
GGUAAACAGCUCUAUGCAAGACCGUGCCUCUAAAUGCCUUGCUCAAAGCAAGUGGGCACAGAGGCCAAGAGACUAAUUCAUUCAUGUAAAGAGCAGUUCUUUCUUUUUCCCCCCGGGGAGGCAAAGCCACCACAAUAAUUUGUACUCUAUGCAGAAUUUAUAAAAAAAAAAAACACAAUAGAAAAAAAAAACAAAUUCCUGAGUCAACAGAUUCCAAGUGCCUGGAUGCGGUCCAAAUGAACCUGGCAGAGAUACAGGUGUGGAUGAAAGCAGCGUUUUAGGAGUCUGCCUUCCCUGGUCCUCCCGGGUAUUUUUAUUCUUCAAAUUGGAGAUAAAAAUAAGGGUUGACAUCUCAAGGUGAGGAGAGACAGAGCAGCAUGUGUUCUUCAAAAGACCCAACCAGAUAAUAGAUUUUUUUUUUUAAAGCUGUUGCUGAAUGUAACUUACUUAUGGUUUCAAAGGGCUUUUUAAAAAUGAAAUCUUCGCAAGCAAUAGUAAAGAAAUCUAGAACCCCCCAGGGUGACUAAAGUUAGAGUCCUGUCAGGGAUUUAAAUCUAAUUAGUAGCCUGAAAGUAAAGAAGAGAGAGAACCAGCCACAUGUCAGCCUGGAAAACAGUACUUGCCAUGGCGUUGUUCAGCAGCCCAGUUAUUAGGGCCUUCAAGUACAUAGUUCAGCACAUUUAUUCUUACUCCUGAAACAAGGCCACAGAGGUUUCAGUCUUUCUGGUAGUUUCUUUUUCUAUGGGGCAGAGAUGCUUCCUCUGCUUCUACAUGCCAUCUCAUCUGAGCAGCUGCUGGAACUCCUGGAGCCUUCUCAGUGCAGACACUUAGACGAGCGGCAGCAUUACAGAGUCAGAGCACCCCAGCUGUGUGACCCCGUGCAAGUGAACUACUUUCUCUGUGCCUCUGGGUCUUCAUCCGUAAAAUGAAGAUUAAACGUGAGGAUUGAAAGAGAUCCAGCACCUGAGGUUCUCAGCACAGCGCCUGACCCAAUGUAAACACUCAGGAACUAUAAGCCAUUUCUCUUUUUCCUCUUCUUUAAUAAACAUUGGCGAAGGAGGGGGGAAAAAAUAACUUGGUGUGACAGUCUAGAGAUGAACGUAACAUCAAGUGAUGUAUGUAUUUUCCUAUGCAGGGUUAUUGCCAAAGAAGCAAAUAGAAUGGGACUGGGAGUCUACAAUGAUAUGACAAGUGCAGCUAUGUGUGCAUUCCCAGCAAAAUUUGUUGUUAGGACACCUUCUGGUUCCCCUAAUGAAGCCAGAGUACAGGAGGGGACAGUAGAGAAAGGCAUCAGAUACUCCUCUUUACCCUGUCCUACAAUGCAAAGAAGACGGAAGAGGAGGACCUUGUCCUUGUAGCAUGAGGAGGGUCUUGGAGCCCCAUUUCUGCCACCUUUACUCAGCUCAUCCAUUUAUGCAUUCGUGUCAGUGGCUGAUUUCUCAAGACUUCUCAAAACGUGUUGAGAGCAGGCCCUCCAAUCACGCUAGAUAGAAUACUUAGAUUAAGAACUUAGAGCUGCCUUCAGGCUAAUAACCAGUAGAAACUAAAUCCAGACAUAUAGGAGUGAAGAUGGAUGUUGGAAAUAUUGAGGCCUGGUAAAUAGCAUUUCACAAAUGGAAGUAUUGCAGUCGGGGGAUUUUGAUAAGGCUUAGGUUAUACUGU